rnacentral:tRNA from 1 species
GGGCAUAGCUCAGUGGUAAAGCGUGUGCUUAGCAUGCACCAGGUCCUGGGUUCAAGCCUCUGUGCCUCCG